CAGCCGCCGCGGUAAUACGUAGGUGGCAAGCGUUGUCCGGAAUUAUUGGGCGUAAAGGGCUCGCAGGCGGUUUCUUAAGUCUGAUGUGAAAGCCCCCGGCUCAACCGGGGAGGGUCAUUGGAAACUGGGAAACUUGAGUGCAGAAGAGGAGGGUGGAAUUCCACGUGUAGCGGUGAAAUGCGUAGAGAUGUGGAGGAACACCAGUGGCGAAGGCGACUCUCUGGUCUGUAACUGACGCUGAGGAGCGAAAGCGUGGGGAGCGAACAGGAUUAGAUACCCGUGUAGUCCCUGUCUCUUAUAC
rnacentral:rRNA from 1 species